AGCAGAGGCCCUUUGUGGCACUGUGCAGCAGCUGUGUGAGACAGAACAGAUACAUUAUGCAAACACACAGACAUCCAAACAAGUUUCCACACUUCAAACAAAGCGUGUUACACGCUGGCUGUUUUUAGAGAUAACGUUCAAAAUAUUAAUAUCAGACGGGCAUAUUUGCACAGCUGUGUCUUGUGUAAACCAAAGGCCAGUACACAGUGUGUUGGACCUCUGCCUGUACUGACAGACCUCUGGAGGAGAAGCAGCCACUCAGUCCCUGAAAACAGAAAACUGAACGAAAGGACACAGCUGACACAGAACCAUACAGGAGCAAACAGGGAACUUUAAGAUUAAUGAAAUGGAGUCGCUGAAGUGGUGAUUUUAUAAGCAUCUGUACUGCUUUUUAUAGGAUCUCUGUUGUGAAAAAAAAAGAAAAAAUCAAUAUGCCAAAUAGUGCAGGGUUCAGUAGACACAGUGAUGUGACAGUGCUGAGGUUUAUCAUUCAUAGAACUCCCUAGUUAGAACAUUAAUUAAACAUUGAUAUUAUUAAUGAGGGCUACUUAUUACUAAGGGAGCUGAUUCAAAGAUUGUUUUAACAUCAUUGUUGUUAAGGGCAACUGAGGCCUUCAUUAGGCUAAAAGUUUCUUCUCAGUGGAGCUGAGCUUUUGUAUUUCUUUCACAUUUGUUGCAUCUUUCUCUUCCUUUCUUUCGUUUUUGAACUCUGUCCAUCUUUUGCCACACUGCUAAGUUUUAAGAUGUUAUGCAGCGAAUAAUUUGAAGGUCUAUUAGUCACAAUCACGCACAGACAUGCUCAGACUUACACCUGAAACUGCAAUGAAACUUAAACACACGUAGGCAGAAAUUGUGACUCAUAUCCUAAAUUACAGUCAACACAAACUUUUUUCUUCUCAUCCCACGCCAUAGACAUCGCUGCUCCAGCCACCAGAGUCAUGACUGUUCAUUAGGGUCUGAUGUUCAUGUCAAAAACAGUUCACAGAGAGGUCAUUCAGAAAAUAAUCAAUAAGUGGCCCUGGAACAACAACAGUGCUGUUGAAAUGAAUAUAUGGAGUUCACAAAAGCUAAAAUAAAUGCAAUUUGAUGUAACUAUCUACCUUAAUUUGUUAAUUUUUAGUAACACUAGUAAUAAAGCGUGUUGUUCACAUGUAUUAGAAA